GGACUACCGGGGUAUCUAAUCCCGUUUGCUCCCCUCGCUUUCGCGCUUGAGCGUCAGUCACAGGCCAGGAAGCCGCCUUCGCCACUGGUGUUCCUCCGGGUCUCUACGCAUUUCACCGCUACUCCCGGAGUUCCACUUCCCUCUCCUGCACUCGCGGAGUCGGACCGUUACCGAUGACCCUCCCCAGUUGAGCCGGGGGCUUUCACACCGGUCGUACCCGACCGCCUUCGCGCGCUUUACGCCCAGUAAUUCCGGACAACGCUCGCCUCCUACGUAUUACCGCGGCGGCUGGCAC
rnacentral:rRNA from 1 species